rnacentral:tRNA from 1 species
GCGCCCAUAGCUCAGAUGGAUAGAGCAUCCGCCUUCUAAGCGGACGGUCGGGGGUUCGAAUCCCUCUGGGCGCG